UGAGGAAUAUUGGUCAAUGGGCGUAAGCCUGAACCAGCCAAGUAGCGUGAAGGAUGACUGCCCUAUGGGUUGUAAACUUCUUUUAAUCGGGAAUAAAGUGGUCUACGUGUAAACUUUUGUAUGUACCGAUUGAAUAAGCAUCGGCUAACUCCGUGCCAGCAGCCGCGGUAAUACGGAGGAUGCGAGCGUUAUCCGGAUUUAUGGGUUUAAAGGAGCGUAGAUGGGCGAUUAAGUCAGUUGUGAAAGUUUGCGGCUCAACCGUAAAAUUGCAAUUGAAACUGGUUGUCUUGAGUGCAGUUGAGGUAGGCGGAAUUCGUGGUGUAGCGGUGAAAUGCUUAGAUAUCACGAAGAACUCCGAUUGCGAAGGCAGCUUACUAAACUGUAACUGACAUUGAUGCUCGAAAGUGUGGGUAUCAAACAGGAUUAGAUACCCUGGUAGU
rnacentral:rRNA from 1 species